GGUCAUAGCUCCAGCAACACUGUUCCUGGCUGCAAAGGUUGAGGAACAGCCCCGCAAGUUGGAGCAUGUUAUCAAGGUGACCCAUGCAUGCCUCAACCCUCAGGACCCUUCACCAGACGUCCGCAGUGAUGUUGUGCCUCACCAGCUCGUUUUCUCCCGUUGUGCUGUUUACAAACACACAUGACUGGCUCAACUGUUCUGGGGAACUACGAACCACUAAUGAACAGGAUAAGGAUCCACGUGUUGCCGUCAAGCUGGGGCCGUUUGUCCCAGACUGCCCGUACCCAAGAGCCCAAGGCCU